rnacentral:rRNA from 1 species
AUCUCCUAAGGCUAAAUACUCUCUAGUGACCGAUAGUGAACCAGUACCGUGAGGGAAAGGUGAAAAGCACCCCGGAAGGGGAGUGAAAUAGAACCUGAAACCGUGUGCUUACAAGUAGUCAGAGCCCGUUAAUGGGUGAUGGCGUGCCUUUUGUAGAAUGAACCGGCGAGUUACGAUUUGAUGCAAGGUUAAGCAGUAAAUGUGGAGCCGUAGCGAAAGCGAGUCUGAAUAGGGCGUUUAGUAUUUGGUCGUAGACCCGAAACCAGGUGAUCUACCCUUGGUCAGGUUGAAGUUCAGGUAACACUGAAUGGAGGACCGAACCGACUUACGUUGAAAAGUGAGCGGAUGAACUGAGGGUAGCGGAGAAAUUCCAAUCGAACCUGGAGAUAGCUGGUUCUCUCCGAAAUAGCUUUAGGGCUAGCCUCAAGUGAUGAUUAUUGGAGGUAGAGCACUGUUUGGACGAGGGGCCCCUCUCGGGUUACCGAAUUCAGACAAACUCCGAAUGCCAAUUAAUUUAACUUGGGAGUCAGAACAUGGGUGAUAAGGUCCGUGUUCGAAAGGGAAACAGCCCAGACCACCAGCUAAGGUCCCAAAAUAUAUGUUAAGUGGAAAAGGAUGUGGCGUUGCCCAGACAACUAGGAUGUUGGCUUAGAAGCAGCCAUCAUUUAAAGAGUGCGUAAUAGCUCACUAGUCGAGUGACACUGCGCCGAAAAUGUACCGGGGCUAAACAUAUUACCGAAGCUGUGGAUUGUCCUUUGGACAAUGGUAGGAGAGCGUUCUAAGGGCGUUGAAGCAUGAUCGUAAGGACAUGUGGAGCGCUUAGAAGUGAGAAUGCCGGUGUGAGUAGCGAAAGACGGGUGAGAAUCCCGUCCACCGAUUGACUAAGGUUUCCAGAGGAAGGCUCGUCCGCUCUGGGUUAGUCGGGUCCUAAGCUGAGGCCGACAGGCGUAGGCGAUGGAUAACAGGUUGAUAUUCCUGUACCACCUAUAAUCGUUUUAAUCGAUGGGGGGACGCAGUAGGAUAGGCGAAGCGUGCGAUUGGAUUGCACGUCUAAGCAGUAAGGCUGAGUAUUAGGCA